rnacentral:rRNA from 1 species
AGUGAACGCUGGCGGUAGGCCUAACACAUGCAAGUCGAACGGCAGCACAGUAAGAGCUUGCUCUUACGGGUGGCGAGUGGCGGACGGGUGAGGAAUACAUCGGAAUCUACUUUUUCGUGGGGGAUAACGUAGGGAAACUUACGCUAAUACCGCAUACGACCUACGGGUGAAAUCAGGGGAUCUUCGGACCUUGCGCGAUUCAAUGAGCCGAUGUCGGAUUAGCUAGUUGGCGGGGUAAAGGCCCACCAAGGCGACGAUCCGUAGCUGGUCUGAGAGGAUGAUCAGCCACACUGGAACUGAGACACGGUCCAGACUCCUACGGGAGGCAGCAGUGGGGAAUAUUGGACAAUGGGCGCAAGCCUGAUCCAGCAAUACCGCGUGGGUGAAGAAGGCCUUCGGGUUGUAAAGCCCUUUUGUUGGGAAAGAAAAGCAGCAGAUUAAUACCCCGCUGUUCUGACGGUACCCAAAGAAUAAGCACCGGCUAACUUCGUG